UGCAAGUCGAGCGGUAACAGGUCGCUGUGAUCUCUUCGGAGUGAACUUGACGCUGACGAGCGGCGGACGGGUGAGUAACGCGUAGGAAUCUGCCCAGUAGAGGGGGAUAGCCCGGGGAAACUCGGAUUAAUACCGCAUACGCCCUACGGGGGAAAGGCCGGGAUCUUCGGACCGGUCACUAUUGGAUGAGCCUGCGUGAGAUUAGCUUGUUGGUGGGGUAAAGGCCCACCAAGGCGACGAUCUCUAGCUGGUCUGAGAGGAUGAUCAGCCACACUGGAACUGAGACGCGGUCCAGACUCCUACGGGAGGCAGCAGUCGGGAAUAUUGGACAAUGGGGGCAACCCUGAUCCAGCCAUGCCGCGUGUGUGAAGAAGGCUUUCGGGUUGUAAAGCACUUUCAGUAGUGAGGAAGGGGAAGUCGUUAAUAGCGGCUUUCAUUGACGUUAGCUACAGAAGCAGCACCGGCUAACUCCGUGCCAGCAGCCGCGGUAAUACGGAGGGUGCAAGCGUUAAUCGGAAUUACUGGGCGUAAAGCGCGCGUAGGCGGUUUGGUCAGUUGGAUGUGAAAGCCCAGGGCUUAACCUUGGAACUGCAUUCAAUACUGCCAGGCUAGAGUACGGUAGAGGGGGGUAGAAUUCCACGUGUAGCGGUGAAAUGCGUAGAGAUGUGGGGGAAUACCAGUGGCGAACGCGGCCCCCUGUAUCGAUACUGACGCUGAGUGCGAAAGCGUGGGGAGCAAACAGGAUUAGAUACCCUGGUAGUCCACGCCGUAAACGAUGUCAACUAGCCGUUGGAGUCUUGUAUCUUUAGUGGCGCAGCUAACGCGAUAAGUUGACCGCCUGGGGAGUACGGUCGCAAGAUUAAAACUCAAAUGAAUUGACGGGGGCCCGCACAAGCGGUGGAGCAUGUGGGUUAAUUCGACGCAACGCGAAGAACCUUACCUGGUCUUGACAUCCUGCGAACUUUCUAGAAGAUAGAUGUGCUCGGA
rnacentral:rRNA from 1 species